rnacentral:rRNA from 1 species
GGAAGAACGCUGGCGGCGUGCUUAACACAUGCAAGUUGAACGGUAUGACAUGGAAGCUUGCUGAAGUGUCAUAUAGUAGCGGACGGGUGAGUAAUGCAUGAGAAGCUGCCAUUGGGAGGGGGACAACAGUUGGAAACGGCUGCUAAUACCCCGUAUGCCGGAAGGUGAAAGGGAGUAAUCCGCCCGAUGAGGUGCUCAUGUCCUAUCAGCUGGUUGGUGGGGUAACGGCCUACCAAGGCGACGACGGGUAGCCGGCCUGAGAGGGUGAACGGCCACACUGGAACUGAGAUUACGGUCCAGACUCCUACGGGAGGCAGCAGUGGGGAAUAUUGGGCAAUGGGGGCAACCCUGACCCAGCGACGCCGCGUGGGGGAAGACGGCCUUCGGGUUGUAAACCUCUUUUGUACGGGAAGAAGGAAGUGACGGUACUGUACGAAUAAGUCCCGGCUAACUACGUGCCAGCAGCCGCGGUAAUACGUAGGGGACGAGCGUUGUCCGGAAUUACUGGGCGUAAAGGGCGCGCAGGCUGUGCUGCAAGUCAGCUGUUAAAUGUCUGGGCUUAACCCGGGCAUGCGGUUGAGACUGCGGUGCUGGAGUGCUGUAGAGGCAAGUGGAAUUCCCAGUGUAGCGGUGAAAUGCGUAGAUAUCGGGAGGAACACCAGUGGCGAAGGCGGCUUCCUGGCACAAUACUGACGCUCAUGUGCGAAAGCUAGGGCAGCGAACGGGAUUAGAUACCCCGGUAGUCCUAGCCGUAAACGAUGGAUACUAGGUGUGGGUGUCGCAGGGCAUCCGUGCCGCAGUUAACGCGUUAAGUAUCCCGCCUGGGGACUACGGUCGCAAGACUGAAACUCAAAGGAAUUGACGGGGGCCCGCACAAGCGGUGGAGCACGUGGUUUAAUUCGAUGCAAA